CAGGUCCAACAGAACCGCCAUCCUUUUGUUUGCAUCAUCCCUCAGCGAUUUAGCUUCUCCCCCGUACUUGGUUGGUGAUGUGAUGGUGCUCUCUAGGUGCUUGUUGAAUUGCCUGUGACUUCUCAUAUUGCAGCCUACCCUGUAUGGUUAUCAUAUUUAGGUGUAAGCUAAAAUUGAAAUCGGAAUAUUAUCAUUAUCCAGAUGUUUAAAAUGCGUUAAAAAUAUUUUCCUAUUGAUAUCAAUGGUAACAGUAUUUUAGCUCAGGCCACUAAUUUAGUUGCUUGCCCAUUCAGCUUUCAGAUAAUGAUUUUUAUUAUUAUUUUACUCAGCCUUCAGUUUUCCAAUUGCUUCUGCCGUAAUUGUUUUUCAUUUGCUUUAGUUAGCUCUGACCCUACACUGAACCUUGGAACCUUUCUGCAACCUCUACUGCAACUACAAGAUACAUGUGAUGCCUCUAAGAAUGCUAAGAGUGGCUACAAAGAAUUUUAUAGUUUUCUUUUUUAUAUGUGCCACAAGCUCCAAAGUUCAUAUAUAUGUCAUUGUGGUCAAGUGUUUAGAAAAUUUUCUUGCAGAGUUUAGAAAUGGCUAACGAGAUUUGGGAGUAGAAAAAUGAAUGAUAAAAAAGAUAAUAAAUAAUCAGUGGUU
rnacentral:lncRNA from 1 species